CUAUAUUAUAUAUAUAAAAAGAAAAAAAGAAAAAAAGAAAUUUCCAGGCCGGAUGUUAGUUGAAAGGGUCUUACCUAUGUUAAUGACAUCUCCAAUAAUAUACCAAGUAAUGAUUAAUUUUUAUAGCUUUCCAUUUCAAUGGUGUUAUAAUAAAGAUGAGUAGUGGUCCUAAUAGGAGUGGUUUCCAAAAAUAAAAUAACUAUAGGCUAUAAUAAGUUUGACUUUGAGUGUAUUUGAAAAAAAAUGAUGAUUAAUUAGACCAUAAGUGUGACAUUUCUAUGGCUGUUGCUUUAACUCAUGACAUGUAUCAAUCUAAACCGACACAUAAAGACAUUGGAGGAAAAAUUAUAAAGUAGUGAGGUGUAAAGACCAACAGUAUGCAUUUUUACAUUUUUUUUCACUGUAUAAGCUUUCCCUUUACUCUAUUUUAGAAAAGAAAAUAUAAUAUAUAGUUUCAUAGUUUGGUAUUGUAGGGAGGAAUUUAUGAAGAAUGACUGGAUUUUAUUUGGAACUUUUGAGAAGCAUGUCAAACCAGGAUGUUUGUUCCUAUGAAAAAAUCUCUUAGAUGAAUGAAAAGGUUCAAUGCUCAUGUCUAACCUCAGGAUGUGACAUAUAGGAACUAAUUCAUUUUGGAAGGCAAGUCAAGUUGUGGCUAUUGUGAGUUCAUUAAUAGUACUAGUUUGUUACUUGUACAAUUAGUUCAGUUAGAUACCAAUAUUUUGCUUUAAUUAAUGUAUAGGUUGAGAUCCACUUUCCAAAACUAGCUAGCCCUUUGUUGGGCUUCCCUUUAAUUAGAUUUGUGGCCUUCUUCUUCAUCAUGUUCAUUUGAUGGACAAGAAGAAAUAUAUGUUUGUAUCUUAAGGAUGUCGAUUGACGAAAGCGGGUGAUUUUUUUAAUGAAUAUAUAAGUUUGACUCUUUUUGGGAUUUUGUUGAA